rnacentral:rRNA from 1 species
AUUGAACGCUGGCGGCAUGCUUUACACAUGCAAGUCGAACGGUAACAGGCCUUCGGGUGCUGACGAGUGGCGAACGGGUGAGUAAUGCAUCGGAACGUACCCAGAGGUGGGGGAUAACGCAGCGAAAGCUGUGCUAAUACUGCAUGUGAUCUGAGGAUGAAAGCGGGGGACCGAGCAGCAAUGUUUGGCCUCGCGCCUUUGGAGCGGCCGAUGUCGGAUUAGCUAGUUGGUGGGGUAAAGGCCUACCAAGGCGACGAUCCGUAGCUGGUCUGAGAGGACGACCAGCCACACUGGGACUGAGACACGGCCCAGACUCCUACGGGAGGCAGCAGUGGGGAAUUUUGGACAAUGGGCGCAAGCCUGAUCCAGCAAUGCCGCGUGCGGGAAGAAGGCCUUCGGGUUGCAAACCGCUUUUGGCAGGAACGAAACGGUGUCCGCUAAUACCGGGCGCUAAUGACGGUACCUGCAGAAUAAGCACCGGCUAACUACGUG